CUGUGGAGUUUCCGGAAGGAUCUUCUCUGCGGGCCUCCCCCUCAGAUUCUGUCAGUUGGUUUGGGCGAAAACAACACUGUUGUGUUAAUUAAGGGCUCCGGGAGAUUUGCGGUGAGGCCAGGGGGGAGCCUGAGGGCUUUUGUUGGUUUUCUGAUAGUGGAUUUGCUGCUUUGGUCCUGGAGAAGUGACAGGGUAUCUGCUCGGUGAGUCUGGGAGCGUCGGGUUCUUGCAGCCCAUGGUUCCGAUGCUGGAUGCUGACGCUGAGGUUGUGAGUGGCGGUGGCAGGGGACCCUCCCUCCCCACAAAGCAGAUCCCUCGUGAGGACGAAAUCUAGAGGUGGAGGCGAAGGCAGAAAUGGCCGGUUCUCAGGUGAGCCUGGGGUCCCCGCAGAGCCGUGUCCUCUGUUUCUCCGCAGACCCUCGUGUUUAGAAUCUACAGAUGCGGAUGCCUCGAGUCCCUGUGCUUCUGACUUCUGCAUUCACCUGUUUUUAAGAUCUGGUCAGAAGUGAUACUCACGGUUAGGACUUUAGAAUCCUUAUCUAUGAUCUAUGUCCCAGAGCCUUCUG
rnacentral:lncRNA from 1 species